rnacentral:rRNA from 1 species
AUACGGAGGAUGCGAGCGUUAUCCGGAUUUAUUAGGUUUAAAGGGUGUGUAGGCGGUAUUUUAAGUCAGUGGUGAAAUCUCGGAGCUUAACUUCGAAACUGCCAUUGAUACUGGAAUACUUGAGUAUAGUUGAGGUAGGCGGAAUAUGUAAUGUAGCGGUGAAAUGCAUAGAUAUUACAUAGAACACCGAUUGCGAAGGCUGCUUACUAAACUAUUACUGACGCUGAUGCACGAAAGCGUGGGGAGCGAACAGGAUUAGAAACCCUAGUAGUCC